ACGCGAGGAACCUUACCAGGUCUUGACAUCCUCUGACACUCCUAGAGAUAGGACGUUCCCCUUCGGGGGACAGAGUGACAGGUGGUGCAUGGUUGUCGUCAGCUCGUGUCGUGAGAUGUUGGGUUAAGUCCCGCAACGAGCGCAACCCUUGUUCUUAGUUGCCAUCAUUUAGUUGGGCACUCUAAGGAGACUGCCGGUGACAAACCGGAGGAAGGUGGGGAUGACGUCAAAUCAUCAUGCCCCUUAUGACCUGGGCUACACACGUGCUACAAUGGACGGUACAAACGGUUGCCAACCCGCGAGGGGGAGCUAAUCCGAUAAAACCGUUCUCAGUUCGGAUUGUAGGCUGCAACUCGCCUACAUGAAGCCGGAAUCGCUAGUAAUCGCGGAUCAGCAUGCCGCGGUGAAUACGUUCCCGGGCCUUGCACUCACCGCCCGU
rnacentral:rRNA from 1 species